AUUGAACGCUGGCGGCAGGCCUAACACAUGCAAGUCGAACGCGUGGCGGACGGGUGAGUAAUGUCUGGGACACUGUCUGAUGGAGGGGGAUAACUUCUGGAAACGGUCGAUAAUCCCGUAUACCCUCGGAUGUGCCCAGAUGGGAUUAGCUAGUAGGUGGGGUAAAGGCUCACCUAGGCGACGAUCCAUAGCUGGUCUGAGAGGAUGACCAGCCACACUGGAACUGAGACACGGUCCAGACUCCUACGGGAGGCAGCAGUGGGGAAUAUUGCACAAUGGGCGCAAGCCUGAUGCAGCCAGGCCGCGUGUAUGAAGAAGGCCUUCGGGUUGUAAAGUACUUUCAGCGGGGAGGCGUUACCCGCAGAAGAAGCACCGGCUAACUCCGUGCCAGCCGCCGCGGUAAUUC
rnacentral:rRNA from 1 species